rnacentral:rRNA from 1 species
GACGAACGCUGGCGGCGUGCUUAACACAUGCAAGUCGAACGGUGAACCUCUUCGGAGGGGAUCAGUGGCGAACGGGUGAGUAACACGUGGGCAACCUGCCCCCGGCUCUGGGAUAACUCCAAGAAAUUGGGGCUAAUACCGGAUGUUCACCGCUUCCCGCAUGGGUGGUGGUGGAAAGGGUUUCCGGCUGGGGCUGGGCCCGCGGCCCAUCAGCUUGUUGGUGGGGUAGUGGCCUCCCAAGGCGACGACGGGUAGCCGGCCUGAGAGGGUGGCCGGCCACACUGGGACUGAGACACGGCCCAGACUCCUACGGGAGGCAGCAGUGGGGAAUAUUGCGCAAUGGGCGGAAGCCUGACGCAGCGACGCCGCGUGGGGGAUGACGGCCUUCGGGUUGUAAACCUCUUUCAGCAGGGACGAAGCGCAAGUGACGGUACCUGCAGAAGAAGCACCGGCCAACUACGUG